UCUGGUCAAGUUGGACGAGAUCCGGAAGAAGAGGAAGCCGGAACUGAUGGCGCAGCUAGAGGAGCUCAAGGCGGAGAUGAAGAAACUCAAGGAGGAGUGAUCUCUCCCCGGCGCCAAGGUCACCGACGGUGCCCCCAACAAGCGGUCCGAGAUCGAGAAAUUGCGCCCUUUUCUCGCGGAGAUGGCGAAGAAGCAUAGGGCGGCGCUGCGGGAGGCGUACAGCAACCGCGAACCCCUCAUCCUCCAUCUCAACUCCCAAGAAGACCCAUGCUGCACCGCCGCAUCACCACCAGGUGUUAUCAUGCUCCCAGCUUUCUCUGAAGAUGGAGUGGUCUCCGAAGGCGCCCAGUUCGUGCGCGCGGUCUUUGACGGCGGCGGUGUCGAUACUGUUGUGAAUGAACUUUGCAAUGUAAUGAACACAAAAAUGUAGUGGGAAUGAGCAGUCUCUUUCAUUGAUCAUUUGGUGCUAUUUAUA